GUUCUUUUAAAAAUCACUGGUUUUAAAGAGACGGACAUAAUUUAGAAGCCUAAAUAAACAUCAGAGGAGCAGAGUGACACGCUUGGGAAAUUCAGAGCUGCAAGUUGAACAAGGAAGAAUGAAAGCAGGCGCUAAAACGAUUGACAGGCGGAGAGCAUUUGCUCGGUGGAGGUAGGAAAUGGAUUUAUUUACCUGACCCUUCAACCCAAUAGUUCCUAACUGCUGGUGCCAUUAAAA
rnacentral:lncRNA from 1 species